rnacentral:snRNA from 1 species
GGGCUGGUAGUGGUAGCACAUAUACUAAAAUCAGAAGAGUACAGGAAAGAUUAGCUUGGCCCCUGAACAGGAUGACACAUAACUUCAUAAGCAUUUCAUAUGAAA